AAAAUUAUUUUUAUACUAAAAUCCAAACUCGGGUGUACUGUUUACGGACAGUAAAGUGGCAAAAAUGCCCUUGGCUGCUGCUAAUUCUCAAGCUUUUUUCUCUGUUUUGAACAUUGAAUUUACAUUUUGCCCCGAUAUCCACGUGUUGGUCAUCGUGGAAAAGGAGUUGACGGGUCGCACUCUUCUUCUUUCUUUUCUGCUUCUCUCGACUUUUCUUUCUUAGAAAGCUCAAAGGUUCACUGAUGCUGUUCCUCCGCUUCUUCUUAUCAAACGUCAAACGUUCGCAUCUUUCUCUCGCCGAUUAUCCACGGCGGUUUUCUUCCCGGAAAACUGCCCCACUCUUUUGCGAAUUUCUUUCAUUGAAAACCCUAGAGCGGCUAGAAGUUUCUCGACUUUUCCUUCCGUUUCCACUUUCCUGUCACAAAUCUCUGCUUCAAUCGGCUCGCAAAUCUCUGCCGACGGCGGUUUUUCUUGCCUGAGAAACCCCUGAAGGUUUUUUUUUGAUUCAGCGGCUUCUUGAUUGUUCAAAUCUAUGGUCUAGGUUGUUGGGGAUUUCUGGGUUUUUUUUAGCUUUGAGGUUUGGGUUUAUCCCUUUGUGCCGUCUGCAACAACACCACUGCGCUCAAACACAGACACUCUCUCUCUCUCUCUUCUCUUUCUCUCUCUUGCAGUCUCUCCUCCCCCAUACUCAAUCCUCUACUUCUCUGAUUCAUGGUUGGGUGAUUUGUAAAAAGGCUUCGAGUACAAAUUUGAACAUCUUUGAUCUUCCAUAUGACUGCUUUGCGCUGCUUCCGAAAUAUCUGUCUCGACUCUUGAUAGACAGAGAGAGAGGGAGAAGUAUGGUUGUCCUAGAAGGGGUAGGAUUGAGCGAUUGGAGACAGACAAAGAGUGAGGGAGGGAUGGGCGUAGGGCUGAUUUUUUGGUUCUACCCAAAGACCUACUACAAAUCGCACAUUAGUGUUUUAGGCUGUACUCCACACAGUAGACGAUGAGAGUUCCAGAGACUCCAGCCCUUCGCCGGUGUCUGUCCCUUUUGUUGUUGUCAGCUCAUCCGCAACCAUGGUAGGCAAUAACAAGAAAAAAGUCAAUGACUCUGAUAACAUGUCGCUGGUAAAUGAGAAGCAGAGUAAGCAAAUUACAGAGAUACCUCCAGAAGAGUACAAAAUGCCACUGGUAUGGAUUGACUUGGAAAUGACUGGUGAGGGUAAUAUUGCUCAAGUAUAUAUGAAAAUGCAUGACUAAAUAACAUUGAUAAUUUCUUCGCUACUCUUGGGAACUAAUUUUGUGUGGAAUUUUGUUGUAUGGACUAUGGAGUAAAUACAUGUUGCAUGAUAUGACUUAUUUGAGUUUAUUAGAGGGUCGUGGGGAUGCCCAUGGAAAGACAAGCUCAGUUUUGAGGAAAAGCAUAACAAAGAAGAGUACUUCUACAACAAUUGAUGUAAUCAUAAGAAAAAGUUGAGUUCUUUAGUUCAUUGCAAGUUGACCCAUCGCCAUUCAUUGCAAGUCGACCCAUAGUCAGGUAUCUCUCUCUCAAGAUUUUACCAAUUAGGUGUAUUUAUACUCUUAUUGGAUGUGAAUUUUUAAAAUAAUGAUGUAACUGCUUGAUAACCUAUGCAUCGUUUGGAGUUAAAAUAUACCACUUAAAUUGUGGGUAAAUGUAAAUGUGAAACUUAUAAACUAUAACCUCCUCCAUCAUUUAUUUUAGACAUCACUCAAGUUGUGAGGAAAUGUAACUAGCCAAUUUAUGAAAAUUAUUAGCACUUAAUGUACAAUUGUAUUUCAUAAUUUUUGUGAAUAAUCUAUUUGACAGCAGAAUGUGCUUUAAAGAAAAAACAGUUCAUAGAGUAAGAGAAACAGCCAAGUGCUACUGUGUACGAUUCUCGGACCGCUGAAUUGGAAUACUCAGAGAAACAAUAUGCAUAGGGAUCACUAAUAAUGUUUUUUUGGUGUAUGUAUCUCAUAUGUUGAAGGCACCCUAACAUUGAAAACAACACUUCUUUUUGUACAAACUUUGCUUUCUGCUGCUCACGGAUGAUCCUCAAGAUGUUUUGGUGGCAAAACAGGUUAAACUCGCUUUUUUACUUUAACCAAAUAUGUGUGUGGAUUGAUGGUGGACUAUGUUUAGUGAAUGUGUAUUUGAGCUCUGUAGAUGACUGCAUGUUGUGUUGACUUCAGAUUUUUGUUAUCAAUCACUCUUUCAAGUGCUUAUUUGAAUCAUUUAAUCCCAAAUUCAAAAAUCAGAAACUGCCUGAUAAUCUCAGUAAGUUCUUAUUUUCUAUGAUCUUUAAGAUUGUACCUUUUAGAUGCUUAACCUCUAAAUUGUUUAUGUUGUUGAGUUUCUGCCUUUAAUUUGUUUUUGUUGCCUUUCGCAUAUGAUGAUGAAAUGGUCCAUCUUUGAUUAUGCCUAAUUUUGGUUUUAAACUUAAAAUUUUCUGGAAUUGACAUGGGCUUACUGAAAUUUUUUUAUAAAAAAAAAACCAUUAUGCAUUUAAAUGCAGAGAUUGUUGGGUCAAAAAUAAGAAAACGGAGAGAGUAGCACAACACUAUGUGAAAUUGGCUUUGGGUUUCAUUUGGCGGUUUGUUUUGCACGUGUCGUUUUUGCAAAGUAAAGGACAUAUGCAACACCUUCCACGAUUUUAGAACACUUGAAGGUUGAAGGUGAGACCUAAGAAAUAAAAUAGCGGUUUGAAAAGUUGUGAUGGCAUGUUAAUUCCCUUUUUUGUGAACUGAUUUUAAAGCGUAUUUACCUAUUUAUUUUUUCAUAUUUUGUUUACAUUUGAUUUAUGAUAGAUUACACAUACUUAACGUGUUUGCAUAAAUUUAAUGCCAUAAGCUUA